rnacentral:rRNA from 1 species
UGCCAGCCGCCGCGGUAAUACGGAGGGUGCAAGCGUUAAUCGGAAUUACUGGGCGUAAAGGGCGCGUAGGUGGUUCGAUAAGUCGGGUGUGAAAGCCCCGGGCUUAACCUGGGAAUUGCAUUCGAUACUGUCGAACUAGAGUGUGGUAGAGGGAAGUGGAAUUCCCGGUGUAGCGGUGAAAUGCGUAGAUAUUCGGAGGAACACCAGUGGCGAAGGCGGCUUUCUGGACCGAUACUGACGCUGAGACGCGAAAGCGUGGGGAGCAAACAGGAUUAGAUA